rnacentral:rRNA from 1 species
CCCUUAGAUGUCCUGGGCCGCACGCGCGUUACACUGAUGCAUUCAACGAGCUUAUAACCUUGGCCGAGAGGCCUGGGCAAUCUUGUUAACGUGCAUCGUGAUAGGGAUAGAUUAUUGAAAUUAUUAAUCUUGAACGAGGAAUUCCUAGUAAACGCAGAUCAUCAAUCUGCAUUGAUUACGUCCCUGCCCUUUGUACACACCGCCCGUCGCACCUACCGAUUGGAUGGUCCGGUUAAGCCUCGGGAUUGUGGUUCUUGCCGCUUUAUUGUGGCGUGACCGCGAGAACUUGUCUAAACCUUAUCAUCUAGAGGAAGGUGAAGUCGUAACA